GACGAACGCUGGCGGCGUGCUUAACACAUGCAAGUCGAACGGACAGGCCCUGCUUUUGUGGGGUGCUCGAGUGGCGAACGGGUGAGUAACACGUGAGUAACCUGCCCUUGACUUUGGGAUAACUUCAGGAAACUGGGGCUAAUACCGGAUAGGAGCUCCUGCUGCAUGGUGGGGGUUGGAAAGUUUCGGCGGUUGGGGAUGGACUCGCGGCUUAUCAGCUUGUUGGUGGGGUAGUGGCUUACCAAGGCUUUGACGGGUAGCCGGCCUGGGCGGGUGACCGGCCACAAUGGGACUGAGAUACGGCCCAGACGCCUACGGGAGGCAACAGGGGGGAAUAUUGCACAAUGGGCGGGAGCCUGAUGCAGCAACGCCGCGUGCGGGAUGACGGCCUUCGGGUUGUAAACCGCUUUCGCCUGUGACGAAGCGGGAGUGACGGUAAUUGGUAAAGAAGCACCGGCUAACUACGUG
rnacentral:rRNA from 1 species